rnacentral:rRNA from 1 species
AUGGCGGAGCGGGUGCUGGAGACGGGGGCGUCCACUGGAGCUGGAGACGGCGUCCAGCGAUGCUGCAAUCGCCCGAGCAUGGCGCUGCCCACCAUGGGCACGGCGACCACGCCGACGAAUGCUGCAACCGGCAAAAUGCUGGCUGAGCCCGGUGCUGCGACGAGGCGGCGAUUUUUGGUGUGGCGAAGUUUUUGCUGGAACCAGGGCACCAGGCAGCAGCGGUGCUACAAUCAGCAACAAAAUUUGCUGGAACUGGCGCCCGUCGGUGUUGGAACUGGACGCCCCCUCUCACCGCGGACAUUUUUUUGCUGGAACCAACUUUAUGUUUUGCUGCAACUUGCUACUUUUUUUGCUACAUCUACUUCUUUUGGAUUUUGCUUCCUGUGA